rnacentral:sRNA from 1 species
CGGAGAUCCGGCCAAGCCAUCGAGAUGACAAUACGCACAAAUGAUUUGAUUACGAAAUUCGAAAAGGGAUUUGAAAUAUAAAGAAAAAAAAAUAAAUAUCAUGCAUCUAUCAAAAAAGUGGAAAAUUUUGUUAUUGUAGAUUUAACCACCAAUGUAUUUAAAAUUGUGGUCAUUUUUAUUAACAGUUUUACCGUUAAUUUAUCUCUUAAAAUUUAGUGACUAUUAUAUUAGUUCGUUUCUUAUUCUAAAAAUAAUUAAUUGUAUGGGUGAGAUGUCACAUUGAAUGAGCUUCGAAGUGGAUCGUUACUCGUCUGCGUGGGCACAUAUCGCCCUUUGUGCGGAUCUCACAUGGGCUACGGAACCGCCUGAUGAAUUUAUUAUAGCUAAUCAGCGCCUAUGGGCACAGCAUUGCCGAGUUUCACAAGUGUUGCAAGAAUCAACAUUGGAAUUGCAAAGUUUGCCGGCAAACGACUGCGAUUUAUCAGAUAACAAACGAACAGCGUCCAGCCACAGUCAAGAGAAUUGUAGUAGUAGGAGGAGCGCCAAAGACGUCAUACCAGAGUCUAGAUUGGCGCAGUUCUACGGAAACUUUUACUAUGAUGACGCCAGAGAGAAAUGCUACACGAACGCGAAUGACCGGAACAGCGUGCGCGGUUACGUGGGACAAGGAUACGAGAACUCCGACCUCACGGAGUGCUGGAUGUUACCAGAGGUGGAGUACUGGUUCCGGAAACUAUUAGAAGACACCGACCGCAGCAUGAACCCCCGCCGCCGGCGACAGUACAGAAUGCUGCCCGAUGAGGAUUUCGAGCGCUGGGACCCGAAUGUGGCGCGGAACGCGGGCGAGGAAGCAGCGCUGGCGGCUCGGGUUCAGAGCGUGCGCGCCUUAUGGUCUCCGGGGCGGCGUCCCACCCGCGCCCCCAGCCCACCGCCGGUGUCGCGCAAGAUACGCGCGCGUCGCCGUCAGCCGCGCCGGCUCGCUGCGCUAGCGCCCCCGCCCCCCGCAUAUUGCCUGGAAGUGCCUGCGCAGUUGUUCUGUGACCCGUCUUGUAAAUUCCAAUUCGAUGCACCGCGACCGCCACAAAGCUUUUGGAAUGCCAGAAGGCAAUGGGUCGCCUUCAGGCGAGCGUGCAAGCGGCCAUGCGUGCGUCUGCAAUGCGCUGCCCUCCUUACAGAGGUACCAACGUCAGCAGAUACGCGCCUACAGGUCAGCGACCCGCUCGAUGUCCAGAAAGAAGGUAUGGUGUCUGGUGGCCUAGGGACCACCCGUCUCCACGUCUUAACCACAAGUUCCAACUGACCCACAUACAGUACAAUGACACUUUACAAAAGGCAUUGGCUAAAACAGAAGAAACAAAAAAGGAUAUUGAAGAAGAACCUGAAGAACAGAAUGAAAGUGAAAGCGCUGCACAAGAAUUGCACGAAUCUCAAGAGGAGGAAGACAUUCCCAAGCAAGAGGAAGUAGUUGACGACGAACUGCCAUCGACGAGCGCGGCGGCGAUGGAAACAGGGCUCAGGAAAAAGCGUUUAUACAGCACAGUACUAAGUAUGAGCGCGCCAAAUCCAAUAAACUUGACUCCGGUAGUCAGAUUAGCCCAGAAACUUGUCACUCCUGGGAUACUUAAGUUAAAUAGAGUCUUACCAAGUGCAAGGAUUCGACCGCCCAACGUCGAUCACAAGUUUGAAGAACUCGAAAAGGAGGCGUUAGAGCAAUACAAGGCGUCGGACGAAAGCAUCGAUACGAAGUUCCAAGAAUUAGAAAAAAGAAGCCGUCGAACAAUACAGCGCCAGUAACAGCAACACUAGCUGCAGCAGCGAGAACUCAACGGAAAAGAGAAACCCUCCCGACAGCGAACAGAAAAGUACAAAACAAACAGCAAAAUUUCAUAAAGAAAAACCAGUGGACAGCGUAGUGAUUUACUCACAGAAUUUUCCCGAUCUCAACUCGAAAACGACGAGCGUUAUGAGUUUAAAAAACUUCCACACCCCCCCGAGGGGGGAAAAAAAGGAACAUAGAUCUAAGAAUUCACGUACUAAGGAGGUGCAGCGAGCAGCUUCUGAUACAGACAACGAAAGUAGAGAGACCAAUUUCAAGAACCACAAGGGUCCAAUGCGGUGGACCUUGCACGUAGUCCCACCGAAGAAGAGACACUUGACGUUAUGUGUGUCGGACUUUUCGUCUGACGAGGACUUGGACGACGCCACCGGGUCCAUUAAAGAUGCAGGACCUAGGAUCAAGAACCAUGUGGGAAAAAUGAAGAUGUCCGCACACGGUGGGGGAGACCUUCGUCCAAUCAUGAGGAAGACAUAG